rnacentral:tRNA from 1 species
GCCCCUAUAGCUCAGCCGGUAGAGCAGUGGACUUUUAAUCCAUGGGUCGCGGGUUCGAGGCCCGCUGGGGGCACC